UAAGUUUGAUGGCGACCGGCGCACGGGUGAGUAACACGUAUCCAACCUGCCGAUGACUCGGGGAUAGCCUUUCGAAAGAAAGAUUAAUACCCGAUAGUAUAAUGAUUCCGCAUGGUUUCAUUAUUAAAGGAUUCCGGUAAAGGAUGGGGAUGCGUUCCAUUAGGUUGUUGGUGAGGUAACGGCUCACCAAGCCUUCGAUGGAUAGGGGUUCUGAGAGGAAGGUCCCCCACAUUGGAACUGAGACACGGUCCAAACUCCUACGGGAGGCAGCAUG
rnacentral:rRNA from 1 species